CGUUGCACCUGGUUGCACCAUUCCGUAUUCCUCUGAAGGUAAAAUCGUAAAAUUCAAUUAGAAAUGAUUGAAUGUAAUGGUAUUGCUUAAAGUGUUUUUUUAUUUUUAAAAUUCAGUCUGGAAAGCAAUCAUGUUGAUUUCUGAUAACAUCUUGCUAAAAGUUUCCUUUUGAUUGCAUGGAUAGUGAUGUCAAGCAGCGUGUGAUGAUCUCCCCUAACAACGGGAGCAACGACUCUGCCCAUCGAUUGAACUGGAUCCCAAGGAUUACCAGCACUCGUCCUUGCCUGGGACUUUUAUAUUACCUUUCAUUCCGCCGCGAAGAAAUGGGCGUGUUCGCAGCAGAUGUCACUUGUAGCCUCCCAAUAAGCUGGACUCAUCACUAAGACUCUCCGCUUACAUUAAGGAUCACUGGGGGAUCAAAUAACUUUCGCAAUUAUACCAAUUCCGUGAUUCCGGAGUAAUUGUACAAUGUUCCGGACGUCCCUACUCCUAAACUUCGGUUCCAAGAACGUUUACUCCGGGCCUAGCUGACCUUACAUCCGUAGUCUGUUGUAUCGACUUGAUAUGGAACAGAGAGAAUAAGCUGCGUCGGUUACGCGUUACCCUUGACGACUGAUCCUCCGCUCUGCCGACAAACUGCACCGGGAGGACAACAAUUCUUGGAACGACAAUGAUUGAAACCCAUUUUGCUGAAGUUGAUAAGCUUUAACAAGACUAUGCACCUCCUUUUUGAGUGAUGAUAAGGUUUUCCCAACUACUGCUCUGCCGUGUCAUCUCCCUCAGUAAACCGAACGCAUUUUGGUUUGGUAACAUAUUGGACAAAAACGUGCAAGCGGCGACUCUUAGUAACUGAUAAUCCGCAUCCGCUUUAGCUGUUGUUCACCAACACUCCGCUUUACUGAAUGGACAACGCAACCUUUGUCGAAGCCGGUAAGCUAAAACUUGUCACGUUUUCAAUCAAGCUAAGUCGAAAAUCAAUUUAGUUUUUUAUCCAACUCCCGAAAACGAUUUCACCUUGACAACGUAUAAUUUUGCCUCCAUCCCGCAAUCGAUGUUUCAACUCCCACAAGAGUUGUUGGGCCGUUUUGUUUUCCCCGACUACUUUGCGGAGCCGUUAUAGUCCCUUAGUAACCCAAACGCAUUGUGGGCUGGCAACUUCUCGCUUCCGUUGGCUGUUCCGGAGACCAAAGUAAUGAAGUAGAACGAGUUGCUAUAGACUUCAAGAUGAGAAUUGCUACGUUUGGUAUGGUAAUCCCACGUGACUGCUGGCGCUAUUGAUUUAGAAUGCGUGGGCAUUAUGUUUGCACAAGUUAGUAACAGAGAAAGAGAUAUUCGCGCAAGUUCAAAUAGCAUUUAAAUG